rnacentral:rRNA from 1 species
GACGAACGCUGGCGGCGUGCCUAAUACAUGCAAGUCGAGCGAAUGGAUUGAGAGCUUGCUCUUAUGAAGUUAGCGGCGGACGGGUGAGUAACACGUGGGUAACCUGCCCAUAAGACUGGGAUAACUCCGGGAAACCGGGGCUAAUACCGGAUAACAUUUUGAACCGCAUGGUUCGAAAUUGAAAGGCGGCUUCGGCUGUCACUUAUGGAUGGACCCGCGUCGCAUUAGCUAGUUGGUGAGGUAACGGCUCACCAAGGCAACGAUGCGUAGCCGACCUGCGAGGGUGAGCGGCCACACUGGGACUGAGACACGGCCCAGACUCCUACGGGAGGCAGCAGUAGGGAAUCUUCCGCAAUGGACGAAAGUCGGACGGAGCAACGCAGCGUGAGUGAUGAAGGCUUUCGGGUCGUAAAACUCUGUUGUUAGGGAAGAACAAGUGCUAGUUGAAUAAGCUGGCACCUUGACGGUACCUAACCAGAAAGCCACGGCUAACUACGUGCCAGCCGCCGCGGUAA